CCUGGUGGCUCAGAGGGUAAAGCAUCUGCCUGCAAUGCAGGAGCCCUGGGUUCGAUCCCUGGGUCAGGA
rnacentral:tRNA from 1 species